CAGCAUUCACUUUCGGUGAGAUGGCGACCGGCGCACGGGGUGCGUAGCGCGUAUGCAACCUACCUUAUACAAAGGGAUAGCCCAUGGAAACGUGGAUUAAUACCUUAUAGUACUAUAAAUCUUGCAUAGAUUAUUUAGUUAAAACUUCGGUGGUAUAAGAUGGGCAUGCGUAAGAUUAGUUUGUUGGUGAGGUAACGGCUCACCAAGACUACGAUCUCUAGGGGUUCUGAGAGGAUUAUCCCCCCACACUGGUACUGAGACACGGACCAGACUCC
rnacentral:rRNA from 1 species